rnacentral:misc_RNA from 1 species
GAUGAAGAACGUAGCUAAAUGCGAUAAGUAAUGUGAAUUGCAGAAUUCAGUGAAUCAUCGAAUCUUUGAACGCCCAUUGCGCCCGCCAGUAUUCUGGCGGGCAUGCCUGUUCGAGCGUCAUUUCAACCAUCAAGCCCCCGGCUUGUGUUGGGGACCUGCGGCUGCCGCAGGCCCUGAAAAGCAGUGGCGGGCUCGCUGUCACACCGAGCGUAGUAGCAUACAUCUCGCUCUGGGCGUGCUGCGGGUUCCGGCCGUUAAACCACCUUCAUAACCCAAGGUUGACCUCGGAUCAGGUAGGAAGACCCGCUGAACUUAAGCAUAUCAAUAAGCGGAGGA